GAUGAAGAACGUAGUGAAAUGCGAUAAGUAAUGUGAAUUGCAGAAUUCAGUGAAUCAUCGAAUCUUUGAACGCACAUUGCGCCCAUUAGUAUUCUAGUGGGCAUGCCUGUUCGAGCGUCAUUUCAACCCUUAAGCCUAGCUUAGUAUUGGGAAUCGACUUUACUGUCGUUCCUCAAAUUCAACGGCGGAUUUAUAGCAAUCUCUGAACGUAGUAAUUUUUUUUCUCGUUUUUGAAAUACUAUAAACCUCAGCCGCUAAACCCCCAAUUUCUUAUGGUUAACCUCGGAUCAGGUAGGAAUACCCGCUGAACUUAAGCAUAUCAAUAAGCGGAGGA
rnacentral:misc_RNA from 1 species